ACGGGAGGCAGCAGUGGGGAAUAUUGGGCAAUGGGCGAAAGCCUGACCCAGCAACGCCGCGUGAAGGAAGAAGGUCUUCGGAUUGUAAACUUCUUUUAUAAGGGACGAAGAAAGUGACGGUACCUUAUGAAUAAGCCACGGCUAACUACGUGCCAGCAGCCGCGGUAAUACGUAGGUGGCAAGCGUUAUCCGGAUUUACUGGGUGUAAAGGGCGCGUAGGCGGGGAUGCAAGUCAGAUGUGAAAUCUAUGGGCUUAACUCAUAAACUGCAUUUGAAACUGUAUCUCUUGAGUGCUGGAGAGGUAGAUGGAAUUCCUUGUGUAGCGGUGAAAUGCGUAGAUAUAAGGAAGAACACCAGUGGCGAAGGCGAUCUACUGGACAGUAACUGACGCUGAGGCGCGAAAGCGUGGGGAGCAAACAGGAUUAGAUACCCUGGUA
rnacentral:rRNA from 2 species